rnacentral:rRNA from 1 species
CAGUAACGGCGAGUGAAGCGGCAACAGCUCAAAUUUGAAAUCUGGCGCCCUCGGGCGUCCGAGUUGUAAUUUGUAGAGGGUGCUUUGGCGUCGACCGCGGCCUAAGUUCUUUGGAACAGGGCGUCGCAGAGGGUGAGAACCCCGUACGUGGCCGCUGGCCUUCGCCGUGUAAAGCCCCUUCGACGAGUCGAGUUGUUUGGGAAUGCAGCUCUAAAUGGGAGGUAAAUUCCUUCUAAAGCUAAAUACUGGCCAGAGACCGAUAGCGCACAAGUAGAGUGAUCGAAAGAUGAAAAGCACUUUGGAAAGAGAGUCAAAAAGCACGUGAAAUUGUUGAAAGGGAAGCGCUUGCAGCCAGACUUGCCCGCGGUCGUUCUUCUCCCGCGGGCAGGCCAGCAUCAGUCUGGGCGGUCGGAUAAAGGCCCUGGGAACGUGGCUCUCUCAGGGGAGUGUUUAUAGCCCAGGGCGCCAUGCGGCCAGCUCGGACUGAGGUCCGCGCAUCUGCUAGGAUGCUGGCGUAAUGGCUGUAAGCGGCCCGUCUUGAAACACGGACCAAGGAGUCUAACAUCUAUGCGAGUGUUUGGGUGUCAAGCCCGGGCGCGCAAUGAAAGUGAACGGAGGUGGGAACCCCCUCGGGGCGCACCAUCGACCGAUCCUGAUGUCUUCGGAUGGAUUUGAGUAAGAGCAUAGCUGUUGGGACCCGAAAGAUGGUGAACUAUGCCUGAAUAGGGUGAAGCCAGAGGAAACUCUGGUGGAGGCUCGCAGCGGUUCUGACGUGCAAAUCGAUCGUCAAAUUUGGGCAUAGGGGCGAAAGACUAAUC